UACGUAGGUGGCAAGCGUUGUCCGGAUUUACUGGGCGUAAAGAGCGCGCAGGCGGUCGCUCAAGUCGCGUGUGAAAGCCCCCGGCUCAACUGGGGAGGGUCACGCGAUACUGUUCGACUCGAAGGCAGGAGAGGGAAGCGGAAUUCCCGGUGUAGUGGUGAAAUGCGUAGAUAUCGGGAGGAACACCAGUGGCGAAGGCGGCUUCCUGGCCUGUUCUUGACGCUGAGGCGCGAAAGCUAGGGUAGCAAACGGG
rnacentral:rRNA from 1 species